UAAUACGGAGGGUGCAAGCGUUAUCCGGAUUCACUGGGUUUAAAGGGUGCGUAGGUGGGCAGUUAAGUCAGUGGUGAAAUCUCCGGGCUUAACCCGGAAACUGCCAUUGAUACUAUCUGUCUUGAAUACUCUGGAGGUAAGCGGAAUAUGUCAUGUAGCGGUGAAAUGCUUAGAUAUGACAUAGAACACCGAUUGCGAAGGCAGCUUACUACGGAGUCAUUGACACUGAGGCACGAAAGCGUGGGGAUCAAACAGG
rnacentral:rRNA from 1 species